rnacentral:rRNA from 1 species
UAUCAAUAAGCGGAGGAAAAGAAACUAACAAGGAUUCCCCUAGUAACUGCGAGUGAAGCGGGAAAAGCUCAAAUUUAAAAUCUGGUGGUCUUUUGGCCGUCCGAGUUGUAAUUUAGAGAAGCGUCUUCCGCGCUGGACCGUACACAAGUCUCCUGGAACGGAGCGUCAUAGAGGGUGAGAAUCCCGUCUUUGGUACGGACCCCCAGGGCUUCUGUGAUGCGCUCUCGAAGAGUCGAGUUGUUUGGGAAUGCAGCUCAAAAUGGGUGGUGAACUCCAUCUAAAGCUAAAUAUUGGCGAGAGACCGAUAGCGAACAAGUACCGUGAGGGAAAGAUGAAAAGCACUUUGGAAAGAGAGUGAAACAGUACGUGAAAUUGUUGAAAGGGAAACGCUUAAAGUCAGUCGCGUCCGCCGAGACUCAGCCUCGCUCCGGCUUGGUGUAUUUCUCGGUCGACGGGUCAGCAUCAAUUUCGUCCCUCGGAUAAUGGCGAGGGAAAGGUGGCACCUUUGCGGGUGUGUUAUAGUCUUUCGUCGCAUGCGAGGGGUGAGAUUGAGGAACUCAGCACGCGCACCCUCUGGGGUGUGUCGGGGCCUCGGCCCACGCCACGUGCUUAGGAUGCUGGCGUAAUGGCUUUAAACGACC